rnacentral:rRNA from 1 species
GAUGAACGCUGGCGGCGUGCUUAACACAUGCAAGUCGAACGAAGCAUUUAGAACGGAUUACUUCGGUUUGAAGUUCUUUAUGACUGAGUGGCGGACGGGUGAGUAACGCGUGGGUAACCUGCCUUGUACUGGGGGAUAGCAGCUGGAAACGGCUGGUAAUACCGCAUAAGCGCACAAUGUUGCAUGACAUGGUGUGAAAAACUCAGGUGGUAUAAGAUGGACCCGCGUCUGAUUAGCUAGUUGGUGAGAUAACAGCCCACCAAGGCGACGAUCAGUAGCCGACCUGAGAGGGUGACCGGCCACAUUGGGACUGAGACACGGCCCAGACUCCUACGGGAGGCAGCAGUGGGGGAAUAUUGCACAAUGGAGGAAACUCUGAUGCAGCGACGCCGCGUGAGUGAAGAAGUAAUUCGUUAUGUAAAGCUCUAUCAGCAGGGAAGAUAGUGACGGUAACCUGACUAAGAAGCUCCGGCU